CACCACCACCACCACCACCACCACCACCACCACUCACUUUCUGCUACACCUCAGCUUGGCCCACCUCCAGAGUUCAAUAUUGGUCAAUGGGUGCAGGAAUCUUUACAUGGAGAAGAACUUCAUUCCAUAGCAAUGUGGUUUGGGGUUCAACCCUACUGCACUGUACCUUGGCUGGCUUCCACAAAGGCCUUGGGUUCAAUGAAGUUUUGUGUGUGAAUUUAGGUCUGGGUGUGCUGAUUGCCUCAAUGUACUCUUGAACUCUGAAAGGUCAAAGCGGGGCAACCCUGCCUCAGUCAGAGGCAGCUGUGCCAGACAAAGCAGCAAUAAAUGCACGAUGCCAGGAGGGCCACUUUUGGUAAAGCAGACCUGGUGAUGUGGGAUGAAGUGAAUGCCUAGCCAAGAUGGCCCAGGCUUCUCCCAUUAGAUCUUUGAUAGGGUGUUGAUAGCUAUAGACAGUAGGGUGGUGACCAUAGAAGUCAGAAUCCAGUUGGGAAUGUAUAACAACUUAUCUGCUGAAUCUACCAGCCCCUAAAAUAGAUUGCACUGGAGAGAGAAAGAAGGAAACCCAUUGAAGGGAACAGUUUUGUAUUGGGGGGGGGGG
rnacentral:ncRNA from 1 species